rnacentral:rRNA from 1 species
GACGAUGCGUAGCCGACCUGAGAGGGUGAUCGGCCACAUUGGAACUGAGACACGGUCCAGACUCCUACGGGAGGCAGCAGUGGGGAAUAUUGCGCAAUGGGGGGAACCCUGACGCAGCAACGCCGCGUGAGUGAUGAAGGUUUUCGGAUCGUAAAACUCUGUCUUUAGGGACGAUAAUGACGGUACCUAAGGAGGAAGCC